rnacentral:tRNA from 1 species
UGACUUCGUAGCUCAGUUGGGUGGAGCACUGCACCGGCAUCGCAGAGGUCAUGGGUUCGAAUCCCGUUGAGUCAC